UACGUAGGGUGCAAGCGUUGUCCGGAAUUAUUGGGCGUAAAGAGCUCGUAGGCGGUUUGUUGCGUCGGCUGUGAAAUCCCGAGGCUCAACCUCGGGUCUGCAGUCGAUACGAGCAAACUAGAGUGUUGCAGGGGAGACUGGAAUUCCUGGUGUAGCGGUGAAAUGCGCAGAUAUCAGGAGGAACACCGGUGGCGAAGGCGGCAUCCUGGACCGACAUUGACGCUGAGGAGCGAAAGCCAGGGGAGCAAACGGG
rnacentral:rRNA from 1 species